rnacentral:rRNA from 1 species
AGAGUUUGAUCAUGGCUCAGAACGAACGCUGGCGGCAGGCUUAACACAUGCAAGUCGAACGCCCCGCAAGGGGAGUGGCAGACGGGUGAGUAACACGUGGGAACGUGCCCUAAGGUACGGAACAACUCCGGGAAACUGGAGCUAAUACCGUAUGUGCCCGAGAGGGGAAAGAUUUAUCGCCUUGGGAUCGGCCCGCGUCUGAUUAGCUAGUUGGUAGGGUAAUGGCCUACCAAGGCUACGAUCAGUAGCUGGUCUGGGAGGAUGACCAGCCACACUGGGACUGAGACACGGCCCAGACUCCUACGGGAGGCAGCAGUGGGGAAUAUUGGACAAUGGGCGAAAGCCUGAUCCAGCCAUGCCGCGUGAGUGAUGAAGGCCUUAGGGUUGUAAAGCUCUUUCGGCGGGGACGAUAAUGACGGUACCCGCAGAAGAAGCCCCGGCUAACUUCGUGCCAGCAGCCGCGGUAAUACGAAGGGGGCUAGCGUUGUUCGGAAUUACUGGGCGUAAAGCGUAUGCAGGCGGAUCGUUAAGUCGGGGGUGAAAUCCCGAGGCUCAACCUCGGAACUGCCUUCGAUACUGGCGAUCUUCGAGUCCGGGAGAGGUGAGUGGAACUCCGAGUGUAGAGGUGAAAUUCGUAGAUAUUCGGAAGAACACCAGUGGCGAAGGCGGCUCACUGGCCCGGGUACUGACGCUGAGAUACGAAAGCGUGGGGAGCAAACAGGAUUAGAUACCCUAGUAGUCC